rnacentral:rRNA from 1 species
UGGGGAAUAUUGCACAAUGGGCGCAAGCCUGAUGCAGCAAUGCCGCGUGUGUGAAGAAGGCCUGCGGGUUGUAAAGCACUUUUAUUGGGAAAGAAAAACCCGGAGCUAAUACCUCCGGCAUUGACGGUACCCAAAGAAUAAGCACCGGCUAACUCAGUGCCUGCAGCCGCGGUAAUACUGAGGGUGCGAGCGUUAAUCGGAAUUACUGGGCGUAAAGCGAGUGUAGGCGGUUGCCUAAGUCGGAUGUGAAAGCCCCGGGCUUAACCUGGGAAUUGCAUUCGAUACUGGGUGGCUAGAGUUUGGUAGAGGGUAAGUGGAAUUCCGGGUGUAGCGGUGAAAUGCGUAGAUAUCCGGAGGAACAUCAGUGGCGAAGGCGGCUUACUGGACCAAAACGUGACGCUGAGGCUCGAAAGCGUGGGUAGCAAACAGGAUUAGAUACCCUGGUAGUCCACGCCCUAAACUAUGUCAACUAGACGUUGGGCUC